UUAAAUUGAAGAGUUUGAUCAUGGCUCAGAUUGAACGCUGGCGGCAGGCCUAACACAUGCAAGUCGAGCGGUAGCACAGAGAGCUUGCUCUCGGGUGA
rnacentral:rRNA from 1 species